UACAGAGGGUGCGAGCGUUGUUCGGAAUUAUUGGGCGUAAAGGGCGCGUAGGCGGUGCGGUAAGUCACCUGUGAAAUCUCCUGGCUCAACUGGGAGCUUGCAGGCGAAACUGCCGUGCUGGAGUGUGGGAGAGGUGCGUGGAAUUCCCGGUGUAGCGGUGAAAUGCGUAGAUAUCUGGAGGAACACCGGUGGCGAAGGCGGCAUCCUGGACCGGUAUUGACGCUGAGGCGCGAAAGCUAGGGGAGCAAACGGG
rnacentral:rRNA from 1 species